UACGUAGGGGGCGAGCGUUAUCCGGAGUUACUGGGCGUAAAGCGCACGCAGGCGGUCGUGCAAGUUUGGGGUUACAGCUCCCGGCUUAACUGGGAGAGCGCCUUGAAGACUGCGCGACUUGAGGGCCAGAGAGGGACACAGAAUUCCGGGUGUAGUGGUGAAAUGCGUAGAUAUCCGGAGGAAUACCAAAGGCGAAGGCAGUGUCCUGGCUGGUACCUGACGCUCAGGUGCGAAAGCUAGGGGAGCGAACGGG
rnacentral:rRNA from 1 species